UGGGGAAUAUUGCACAAUGGGCGAAAGCCUGAUGCAGCAACGCCGCGUGAGCGAUGAAGGCCUUCGGGUCGUAAAGCUCUGUCCUCAGGAAGAUAAUGACGGUACUUGAGGAGGAAGCCCCGGCUAACUACGUGCCA
rnacentral:rRNA from 1 species